CACGUAGGCGGUCGUGUAAGUCGGGUGUGAAAGACCGCGGCCUAACCGCGGAACCGCGCCCGAAACUGCACGACUCGAGGACGGGAGGGGAGAGUGGAACUCCUGGUGGAGCGGUGAAAUGCGUAGAUAUCAGGAGGAACGCCGGCGGCGAAAGCGACUCUCUGGUCCGUCCCUGACGCUGAGGUGCGAAAGCUGGGGGAGGCAAAACGG
rnacentral:rRNA from 1 species